AUCAUGAGUAUACAUUCUCAGCUUCAACAGGUAAAAAAGGAUGACCUCGUCGUUAGUAUCUUGUUCAAAUUAAGGAACAAACAAUAAGUUUUUUGCAAUCAGUGAACCUUUAUCGUAUAGGGAUCAUUUGGUCUAUAUAUAUUGUAAGGUUUGGGUAUUGAGUAUAACACCUUUGUCACGAGUAUACAGAACCGGACUGGUUGCUCGUCCUUAGCUGAUUUUUGAAGUCUUUUAUUGGCUUAUGAUACUCAUUUGGAAAAACAACAGGCUGUGGAUUAAUUAAAUAUGCUUCAAGCUAACCUAGCCAACUUCCAGUUCUCUCAAAAUCAUAGAAGAUCCAAGUCACCUUCUCCAGGUAAGCUCCCUAAUUUUUCCUCUCAUCAAUCCCUUGUUCCCCUGGACUUUCUCCUGUUUUUAAUCAACCGAUCCACCCUUUCAUAACCCAACUCCCAAUCUGGUAUUUUUAGCUCACCCUCUCAAUAGAAUCGAAACAAAAAAUCUUGUUGACCUUAGUGUCAAAUCCAUGGCAAAAUGAGACAUCCUACUUUUGUUUGCUAUAAUAGAAACAACCCUACUUAUCGUUUCCCUCGAAAGCCCCAACCACUAGCCCUUUUUAACUCCCUUUAGACUACUCAUAAUCAACCUACCAUUCCUCAACCUCCCUAUUCUGGUGAUUCUUCCUCAAACACGUUCUUUUCUUAUUCUAAUGAUGCUUGGUUUAUGGAUUUGGGUGCUACUCACUAUAUGACACCUGACCUCAACAAUCUCCAACAAGAUCUUCCCUAUACGGGACGUGAGUAGGUUGUUGUAGGCACUCGUUCUUAAGAGUGUUUAGUUUCUAUUUCUUCUCCAUACUUAUUCACUCCUCUUCAUCUUAAAUUUGACAUUCAUGCUCCUGAAAUCUCUCAUAACUUAAACAGCAUAGCUAAACUUCUUUAUGAUAAUGUGAUAUUUGCGGAGUUUUACAUCUUAUUUUCUUGUGAAGGAUCCAAUUUCCAAAAGGCUAUUGCUUCGAGGACUUCUUGAUCAUGGUCUUUACAAACUCUCUACUUUUUAUGUCAUUCCAAGAGUCUCUCCAUCCUCCACAACACUAACAAUUUUUUCUCUCAACGCUUCAAGAUCCUCAAGUUUGGCAUCACCAGCUCGACCAUUCUUCAAAUUUUUGUUCUCAAUUCUAUUUUAAGUCAAUAUAAUAUCAAAUUUAGGUCUACCUCUAUUCUUUUUUGUAUUGCGUAUCAAAUGGCUAAGAUCCAACGCUUGUCUUUUUUCUUGUCUUUUUCUCGCUCAAUGCAUCCUUUUCAAUUCGUGUAUUCAAACAUAUGAGGUCCUUCCCCUAUUUUAUCUAGUCGUUUUACUUGAGUAUAUCUUCUUCGCACAAAAAUGGAAACUUGCUCUAUUUUCUUACAAUUUAAGGUCAUGAUUAAAAAUCAAUCAAUUCUAAAGUUGUUGCUCUCCAAACUCGGGUUGGUGUUGAAUUUAAGCCUUUAAUCCCUACCCUCCUUUCCUGUGGCAUACAACACUGCAUUUGUUAUCCAUAUACAUCCCAGCAAAAUGGUAAAUGUUGUUGAGGUUGGUUUGUCCAUUCUUGUUUAUGCAUCUAUUCCUCGAAAAUUAUGGUCCUUUUCUUUUCAAUGUGUUGUCCAUAUUAUUAACUGACUUCCCACAAAUGUUCUUCAAAAACAUUCUCCCUCUUCUCUUUUAUACAAUAAAACCCCUGAUUAUUCUCUUCUAAAAUUCUUUGGCCAUGUUUGUUUUCCUUUCCUUUGCCCGUACGAUGCCCAUAAACUUUAAUUUCGUUCUCAUGAAUGUGUUUUUCUUGGUUAUUGUUCUUCUCAUAAAGGAUAUUUAUUUUUAGAUGCUUCCAGUGGUUGCAUAUAUGUAUCUUGACAUCAAUCUUUAAUGAAUCCUCUUUCCCCUUUGUUGUCCAUAGUUCUCAAUGUUCUUCUCUUAAACAGAUACAUCGGGAUUUUUUUUCUUUCCCCUUCUUCCAUAUUUACUGAUAUGGUUACGCCUUUCUCUACAUCACCUAUUCAUUAUCCACCACUUUCCCUUCCUAAUCCAGUUGCUUUUACUACCUCCAGCAUGCUCUCUAACCUAUCUAUUUCUUCCUCACCUCCUACCAUACCCCUUCCCCUCUUGUCCCACAUUGAUUCUAUCAAUCCAUCCCCUUCUCUCAAUGCCAUCUAUACUGCCCCUUUACCAUCCACAUCCUAAGCAUCACCCCUUGCCCCUAUUUCCUCAUUAUCUUCCCUCCCUUUCGCUUGUCCCCAGCCUCCCCUCACUAUCAAUCAGCAUACUAUGAUUACCAGAUCCAAGGUUGGAACCUUUAAACCCAAAGCUCUCCUAGCCUCUGUUCCCACUUCUUCAUCAACCAUUACAACCGAACCAUCUAAUUGUAAGGUUGCACUUGCUAAUCCACAUUGGAAACAAGCUGUGGUCGCUGAUUAUGAGGUCUUAUUGAGGAACAACACUUGGCCCUUAGUCCCAUUGCCCCCAGAUCGUAAGGUUAUAGGCUACAAAUGGGUGUUAUGUGAAACUACAGCCUCUAGGUGAAGUUGAACGCUAUAAGGCUCGGGUAAUUGCUUAAAGUUAGAUGUUUAGAAUACAUUCCCUUCAUGGUGAUCUACAGGAAGGAGUCUUUAUGAAGCAACCUGUUGUAAGUAAUUCUCAUCUUCAUCACAUACUUUGUUUUCAUAAAUCUCUUUAUGGCCUAAAACAAAACUCACGCACUUGGUUUUCAAAGCUUAUUUUGUGCUUGCUUAGGUUGGGGAUUGUCUGGUUCCAAAGCUGAUACUUCAAUGUUCAUUUAUCUCCUAUUGUCAUAUUUCUCAUUUAUGUUGAUUGAUGAUACCCUUGUUACUAGUAACAAUAGCAAAUUAAUUCAGUGGUUCGUAUCAGCUUUAAAUGCAACAUUUUCUCUUAAA